GGAAGUAAAAGUCGUAACAAGGUCUCCGUUGGUGAACCAGCGGAGGGGAUCAUUACCGAGUUUACAACUCCCAAACCCACUGUGAACUUAUACCCAAAACGUUGCCUCGGCGGGCACAGCGGUACCCGAGCCCCCCCGCAAGGGAGGCAGAGGCGCCCGCCCGCCAGGGGACCAAAACUCUUCUGUAUACCCAUAGCGGCAUGUCUGAGUGGAUUUACAAACAAAUGAAUCAAAACUUUCAACAACGGAUCUCUUGGUUCUGGCAUCGAUGAAGAACGCAGCGAAAUGCGAUACGUAAUGUGAAUUGCAGAAUUCAGUGAAUCAUCGAAUCUUUGAACGCACAUUGCGCCCGCCAGUAUUCUGGCGGGCAUGCCUGUUCGAGCGUCAUUUCAACCCUCAAGCCCUGCCUGGUGUUGGGGACCGGCUCAGCGGGUGCGGGCUUCGGCCCGUCCCGUGCCGCCCCCGAAAUGGAUCGGCGGUCUCGUCGCAGCCUUCUUUGCGUAGUAACAUACCACCUCGCAACAGGAGCGCGGCGCGGCCACUGCCGUAAAACGCCCAACUUUUUAGAGUUGACCUCGAAUCAGGUAGGAAUACCCGCUGAACUUAAGCAUAUCAAUAAGCGGAGGA
rnacentral:rRNA from 1 species